UUAAGAGCUUGCUCUUAUGAAGUUAGCGGCGGACGGGUGAGUAACACGUGGGUAACCUGCCCAUAAGACUGGGAUAACUCCGGGAAACCGGGGCUAAUACCGGAUAACAUUUUGAACCGCAUGGUUCGAAAUUGAAAGGCGGCUUCGGCUGUCACUUAUGGAUGGACCCGCGUCGCAUUAGCUAGUUGGUGAGGUAACGGCUCACCAAGGCAACGAUGCGUAGCCGACCUGAGAGGGUGAUCGGCCACACUGGGACUGAGACACGGCCCAGACUCCUACGGGAGGCAGCAGUAGGGAAUCUUCCGCAAUGGACGAAAGUCUGACGGAGCAACGCCGCGUGAGUGAUGAAGGCUUUCGGGUCGUAAAACUCUGUUGUUAGGGAAGAACAAGUGCUAGUUGAAUAAGCUGGCACCUUGACGGUACCUAACCAGAAAGCCACGGCUAACUACGUGCC
rnacentral:rRNA from 1 species